ACGUGUCAUGCGACGGUGAAGAGGUUGGGUGAGGACGACACGUGUUGCAUCGUUAUCAAGAGCCACAAUACCCGCAAGGCUUAAGAGGUGAGGGUGAUCAAAAAAUCGUAUAAAAGGAGAGAGGAAAGGCGUUUGAAAUCAGUUGAGUGAGCAUCUCCGACACGGCAACAACUGCUGUGCACUAUUUGUCACCAACUGGAUUCUUCAUUGUGUAAUUAGUUCGCAAUCAUGGUUGUAUCAAAGGAGAGAAAAGACUAAAUAAUCAGUCGAGUGAUUACCUGCGACACGAUAACAACUGCAUCCUUCGUCGCAUUACCAGUUAACAAUCACAGUAAACUAUGGUGUCAUGCUGCACUGCUGCUGUUGGUUGUUGUAUCGUUUAUGGCUGGUGACGACCACUGGUGUACCGAUGUCUUCUGGGUAUGGUGAAUAUUAAUGCACAACACUGCCGCCUUAUUACUCAACAUCAACCAACGCUGUUCCAGCUUACUACACCAGGACUCUAAAGUACUACACCACCAAGGCUCCAGAGUAUUAAAAGUUGUAUCAAAGGAGAAAAGAGGCGCAAUAAUCAAUCGAUUUAUCCCCGACACGACAGCAACUGCCGUGCACUAUUUGUUACCAACUGCAUUCAUCAUCGUAUAUAGGGACCCAUCCCCAGCAACGUCAACCUGCAGAAGGAAAGGCUAGUUUGUAUGUCCUUU